rnacentral:rRNA from 1 species
CGCUGACGGCCAUACCGUGUCGAAUGCACCGGAUCUUUCUGACCUCCGGAGUUAAGCGGCGCAGGGCCGGGUUAGUAUUGGGGUGGGGACCGCACGCGGGAAGUCCUUAGGGUGCUGU